CCGGGCGCACGGGUGAGUAACACGUAUGGAACCUGCCCUAUGCAGGGGGAUAAGCGGAAGAAAUUCCGUCUAAUACCGCAUAACACCUUUAGGAGACAUCUUCUUGGGGUCAAAGGAGGCGACUCCGGCAUAGGAUGGCCAUGCGUCGCAUUAGCUAGUCGGCGGGGUAACGGCCCACCGAGGCGACGAUGCGUAGGGGUUCUGAGAGGAAGGUCCCCCACACUGGUACUGAGACACGGACCAGACUCCUACGGAAGGCAGCAG
rnacentral:rRNA from 1 species